AAAUCUUUGUAUUAAGACAUACCAUUUUUAAAUACUUGAUUUCUUAGCAAGUAUAACUUGAAUCUCAAACUUUUUGUUCUAAAAAUUCAGGGAUAUUUCAGCUCAUUCUCCUUAUGCUAACAUGUCAUCUGUUUAUGCAAAGUUGUCGGUUAAUAUAUUCGCUUUCAGAGGAUUGCAAUCCCUCGUAGUUUGCUUGUAUAUGUACUGAUAACUGAAAACUAAUUUUAUAAAUUUUGUCACCUUUCAAUUGUAAAUUUUGGAGAGUUGGCAUUCAGCAGAGUAAAAAGUGUAAAAUAGGAAGCCCUGAGCUGGCAGAGGGAGAUGGGGGGUACAAGACAUCGCCGGUAAUGGCUUCUGAUCUAGUGACGAGGACAGCUUUGGACUGCAGCUGGACAGUCCUAGAAGCUGGUGGUGUGCUGUGCAAUAGGACUGUUGUUACAUUGUGGCCUAAAUACAGUGUUGCUUACUAGCUUUGCAAAUAGCUUUGCGUCAGUGGAGACCUUUGUAAUUUACCAUCAGUCACAUUUGUCACUAAAAACUUUCAGAAUGUCUGCCUUGCACACACACACACACACACACACACACACAAAAACAAAAACCACAAGGUUUCCAAACCAUGAUGUUGAGUCCACAUCAGGUUCCUGCAAGGUGUGCUUGGCAAUUUUUUUUUUUUUUUUUUGAGCCAGCCAUCCCUAAGGAAUAUUUGCUUUACAUGUCACCCACUGUCAUUUGUCAAACUGCUGGCCAACAGGAGUAGUAAGUGUGGUUUGAGAGGAUGGGUGGUGUAGGGAGGAAGGCAGUGACAUCCCACCUCUGUCCAUUAGAUCAAGUGGGAGGCAGAUCUGUGAUUUGCUUCUAUAGGAACAGCUUGACUACAUAGCCAUACUCGAUACAAGUGCUUCUGCUUGGUGUCAACAUUACUUGAAUGAAUUUUUCAUCUUGAUUGACGCACAGUGAUGUAUAGUUCACUUUACAAGGUAGUUUGGUUAACUUGUUAGGGUUUUUUUUUUUUUUUUGGUUUUGUUUUUUGUUUUUUUGCAGUUUGACACUAAGAUAAUGAACUUCUGUGUGCAUUUUUCUAUGCUUUAUUUUUUAAUGUAGCUUACUUCCUGAGAUUUUGGCUUUGUUUAUACAAUCUGAGGGUGGUUAUAAAUACUGUAAGUAUUGUAAUGUUAUGAAUGCAGUUUAUUUUAAAGCUGUUUAUUAUAUCAUUCCUGAUAACGCCAUGUGAGUGUUUUUAAUAAAAUUUAUAUUUAUUUAAUGC
rnacentral:lncRNA from 1 species